UACGAAGGGGGCUAGCGUUGCUCGGAAUCACUGGGCGUAAAGGGCGCGUAGGCGGCCGUUCAAGUCGGGGGUGAAAGCCUGUGGCUCAACCACAGAAUUGCCUUCGAUACUGUACGGCUCGAGACCGGAAGAGGUGAGUGGAACUGCGAGUGUAGAGGUGAAAUGCGUAGAUAUCUGGAGGAAUACCGGUGGCGAAGGCGGCAUCCUGGACCGGCAUUGACGCUGAGGAGCGAAAGCAUGGGGAGCGAACAGG
rnacentral:rRNA from 1 species